rnacentral:rRNA from 1 species
UGAGGCGAACCGGGGGAACUGAAACAUCUAAGUACCCCGAGGAAAAGAAAUCAACCGAGAUUCCCCCAGUAGCGGCGAGCGAACGGGGAGGAGCCCAGAGCCUGAAUCAGUGUGUGUGUUAGUGGAAGCGUCUGGAAAGGCGCGCGAUACAGGGUGACAGCCCCGUACACAAAAAUGCACAUGCUGUGAGCUCGAUGAGUAGGGCGGGACACGUGGUAUCCUGUCUGAAUAUGGGGGGACCAUCCUCCAAGGCUAAAUACUCCUGACUGACCGAUAGUGAACCAGUACCGUGAGGGAAAGGCGAAAAGAACCCCGGCGAGGGGAGUGAAAAAGAACCUGAAACCGUGUACGUACAAGCAGUGGGAGCACAGAGCAAUCUGUGUGACUGCGUACCUUUUGUAUAAUGGGUCAGCGACUUAUAUUCUGUAGCAAGGUUAACCGAAUAGGGGAGCCGAAGGGAAACCGAGUCUUAACUGGGCGUUAAGUUGCAGGGUAUAGACCCGAAACCCGGUGAUCUAGCCAUGGGCAGGUUGAAGGUUGGGUAACACUAACUGGAGGACCGAACCGACUAAUGUUGAAAAAUUAGCGGAUGACUUGUGGCUGGGGGUGAAAGGCCAAUCAAACCGGGAGAUAGCUGGUUCUCCCCGAAAGCUAUUUAGGUAGCGCCUCGUGAAUUCAUCUCCGGGGGUAGAGCACUGUUUCGGCAAGGGGGUCAUCCCGACUUACCAACCCGAUGCAAACUGCGAAUACCGGAGAAUGUUAUCACGGGAGACACACGGCGGGUGCUAACGUCCGUCGUGAAGAGGGAAACAACCCAGACCGCCAGCUAAGGUCCCAAAGUCAUGGUUAAGUGGGAAACGAUGUGGGAAGGCCCAGACAGCCAGGAUGUUGGCUUAGAAGCAGCCAUCAUUUAAAGAAAGCGUAAUAGCUCACUGGUCGAGUCGGCCUGCGCGGAAGAUGUAACGGGGCUAAACCAUGCACCGAAGCUGCGGCAGCGACACUAUGUGUUGUUGGGUAGGGGAGCGUUCUGUAAGCCUGUGAAGGUGUGCUGUGAGGCAUGCUGGAGGUAUCAGAAGUGCGAAUGCUGACAUAAGUAACGAUAAAGCGGGUGAAAAGCCCGCUCGCCGGAAGACCAAGGGUUCCUGUCCAACGUUAAUCGGGGCAGGGUGAGUCGACCCCUAAGGCGAGGCCGAAAGGCGUAGUCGAUGGGAAACAGGUUAAUAUUCCUGUACUUGGUGUUACUGCGAAGGGGGGACGGAGAAGGCUAUGUUGGCCGGGCGACGGUUGUCCCGGUUUAAGCGUGUAGGCUGGUUUUCCAGGCAAAUCCGGAAAAUCAAGGCUGAGGCGUGAUGACGAGGCACUACGGUGCUGAAGCAACAAAUGCCCUGCUUCCAGGAAAAGCCUCUAAGCAUCAGGUAACAUCAAAUCGUACCCCAAACCGACACAGGUGGUCAGGUAGAGAAUACCAAGGCGCUUGAGAGAACUCGGGUGAAGGAACUAGGCAAAAUGGUGCCGUAACUUCGGGAGAAGGCACGCUGAUAUGUAGGUGAAGCGACUUGCUCGUGGAGCUGAAAUCAGUCGAAGAUACCAGCUGGCUGCAACUGUUUAUUAAAAACACAGCACUGUGCAAACACGAAAGUGGACGUAUACGGUGUGACGCCUGCCCGGUGCCGGAAGGUUAAUUGAUGGGGUUAGCGCAAGCGAAGCUCUUGAUCGAAGCCCCGGUAAACGGCGGCCGUAACUAUAACGGUCCUAAGGUAGCGAAAUUCCUUGUCGGGUAAGUUCCGACCUGCACGAAUGGCGUAAUGAUGGCCAGGCUGUCUCCACCCGAGACUCAGUGAAAUUGAACUCGCUGUGAAGAUGCAGUGUACCCGCGGCAAGACGGAAAGACCCCGUGAACCUUUACUAUAGCUUGACACUGAACAUUGAGCCUUGAUGUGUAGGAUAGGUGGGAGGCUUGGAAGUGUGGACGCCAGUCUGCAUGGAGCCGACCUUGAAAUACCACCCUUUAAUGUUUGAUGUUCUAACGUUGACCCGUAAUCCGGGUUGCGGACAGUGUCUGGUGGGUAGUUUGACUGGGGCGGUCUCCUCCUAAAGAGUAACGGAGGAGCACGAAGGUUGGCUAAUCCUGGUCGGACAUCAGGAGGUUAGUGCAAUGGCAUAAGCCAGCUUGACUGCGAGCGUGACGGCGCGAGCAGGUGCGAAAGCAGGUCAUAGUGAUCCGGUGGUUCUGAAUGGAAGGGCCAUCGCUCAACGGAUAAAAGGUACUCCGGGGAUAACAGGCUGAUACCGCCCAAGAGUUCAUAUCGACGGCGGUGUUUGGCACCUCGAUGUCGGCUCAUCACAUCCUGGGGCUGAAGUAGGUCCCAAGGGUAUGGCUGUUCGCCAUUUAAAGUGGUACGCGAGCUGGGUUUAGAACGUCGUGAGACAGUUCGGUCCCUAUCUGCCGUGGGCGCUGGAGAACUGAGGGGGGCUGCUCCUAGUACGAGAGGACCGGAGUGGACGCAUCACUGGUGUUCGGGUUGUCAUGCCAAUGGCACUGCCCGGUAGCUAAAUGCGGAAGAGAUAAGUGCUGAAAGCAUCUAAGCACGAAACUUGCCCCGAGAUGAGUUCUCCCUGACUCCUUGAGAGUCCUGAAGGAACGUUGAAGACGACGACGUUGAUAGGCCGGGUGUGUAAGCGCAGCGAUGCGUUGAGCUAACCGGUACUAAUGAACCGUGAG